rnacentral:rRNA from 1 species
AGUGAACGCUGGCGGUAGGCCUAACACAUGCAAGUCGAACGGCAGCACAGUAAGAGCUUGCUCUUACGGGUGGCGAGUGGCGGACGGGUGAGGAAUACAUCGGAAUCUACUUUUUCGUGGGGGAUAACGUAGGGAAACUUACGCUAAUACCGCAUACUACCUACGGGUGAAAGCAGGGGAUCUUCGGACCUUGCGCGAUUGAAUGAGCCGAUGUCGGAUUAGCUAGUUGGCGGGGUAAAGGCCCACCAAGGCGACGAUCCGUAGCUGGUCUGAGAGGAUGAUCAGCCACACUGGAACUGAGACACGGUCCAGACUCCUACGGGAGGCAGCAGUGGGGAAUAUUGGACAAUGGGCGCAAGCCUGAUCCAGCCAUGCCGCGUGGGUGAAGAAGGCCUUCGGGUUGUAAAGCCCUUUUGUUGGGAAAGAAAAGCAGCAGGUUAAUACCCCGCUGUUCUGACGGUACCCAAAGAAUAAGCACCGGCUAACUUCGUG